rnacentral:rRNA from 1 species
CCCUACUGCUAUCGGGGUGGGACUAAGACACGCGAGUUGUGCGUCUCUAAGCUAUGGUAGAGACGCAGCGUACGGCUCAGUAACACGUGGCUAACCUACCCUUAGGACGGGGACAACCCCGGGAAACUGGGGCUAAUACCCGAUAGGUGAGGAGGCCUGGAAUGGUUCCUAGUCGAAAAGGCGUUGAAACCAUGCUUUUCGACGUCGCCUAAGGAUGGGGCCGCGCCCGAUCAGGUUGUUGGUGGGGUAACGGCUCACCAAGCCUAUAACCGGUACGGGCCGUGAGAGCGGGAGCCCGGAGAUGGGCACUGAGACAAGGGCCCAGGCCCUACGGGGCGCAGCAGUCGCGAAAACUCCGCAAUGCGCGAAAGCGCGACGGGGCUACCCCGAGUGCCGUCCGCUGAGGAUGGCUUUUCCCCGGUGUAAUGAGCCGGGGGAAUAAGGAGAGGGCAAGUCUGGUGUCAGCCGCCGCGGUAAUACCAGCUCUCCGAGUGGUGGGGAUGAUUAUUGGGCUUAAAGCGUCCGUAGCCGGCUUAGCAAGUCUCCUGUUAAAUUCAGCGACCUAAUCGUUGAGCCGCGGGAGAUACUACUAGGCUAGGAGGCGGGAGAGGCCGACGGUAUUCUCGGGGUAGGGGUGAAAUCCUAUAAUCCCGGGAGGACCACCAGUGGCGAAGGCUGUCGGCUAGAACGCGCUCGACGGUGAGGGACGAAAGCUGGGGGAGCGAACCGGAUUAGAUACCCGGGUAGUCCCAGCUGUAAACGAUGCGGGCUAGGUGUUGAGGUGGCUACGAGCCACUUCAGUGCCGCAGGGAAGCCAUUAAGCCCGCCGCCUGGGGAGUACGGCCGCAAGGCUGAAACUUAAAGGAAUUGGCGGGGGAGCACCACAAGGCGUGAAGCUUGCGGUUC